CAUCCCACAACAGUUUCGUAUCAAUGCCAAUACAAUCUCAAGGGAAUCGACCAAAGUUAAACGCAUGCACACACCAUUAAUCCUUAUAAUUUGUUCAAAUCCUAGAUUUGACCUCCUAAAUCCAUCCCUUAGUUCAAACCUCUCGAGUGUAACGUAGAAACCGACGUAGGCAACGAAAUUGCAGCGUGAGGACAAGGGCGGUGCCGACCCCG
rnacentral:lncRNA from 1 species